GGGGAUUUGGCUCAGUGGUAGAGUGCUUGCCUAGGAAGCACAAGGUCCUGGGUUCGGUCCCCAGCCCCG
rfam:Rattus norvegicus chromosome 10, whole genome shotgun sequence.